ACAGACGGCCAGUCGCCAAAGUUUGUUCGUUUCUUUUUUAGUUUUGAACAAUUCUUUAAUUCUAUUAAAGCGAAAUUUAUUGCUGUUUGCGACAGUCGGGAACAUUACUUUAUUAUCUUUGUGUGUCGAGCUUUCAUUUUUAUACGAAAAAAUGAUAAUUUGCAAAAGUUAUGUAGCAGGAAUAAUCGCUUCGUCAUAAUUGCCCUGCAGAGUUGUUUACACAGCCUCUUGUUAAUGAACAAAAGGGCAAGAAAAAGCUUUAACGUAAUACUGGCAAAGAAUGGAGGAAGGAAAUUUAAAUUUUAAAAGACCUUGACGUUUCCUUACAGACUGACUGUGGAAUCUGUUUCCAUUUCCUUUGUUUUCUCAGCAGGUGACGUGCAGGUAACAAAUGACUCGGCGUGCGGCCUUGUGGUCUAUGACGACCAACUCAUCGACACAUCACUUUCGUGAUCGCCAGCCAACGCCACAGACGCCAUGUCUCGCAGUCACUUUUUCUUGAUCGCCCUGUCGCUCGCCGUGGUGGUGGCGUAUUGUUCCGCGAUUCCGGUGGAAGUGGACGAGGUUGCUGCCAAUCCAGUAACCAUUGACGAAUCAUUAGCUCCCAACGAACGACCGAAACGUUAAUUUCUUGCAGGACUCUUGAUUGGAAAAGCUCUUGGUACUGGGUACGGUUACGGAUUGGGUCGGUCAGCUCAUUACGGAGGCUAUGGAUACCCCGGCCACUACUACGGGAGACCUUACGGCUAUGGAUACGGAGGCCACCACUACUGGUAGAAAGAAGAUGGACUAAUAUUUUUACGCACUUUGGCGAAUUUCCAGUUGUCAUUAUUACUGCCAUUAAGUAUAGACAAUGAUUAACAUUAUUUUGAUGGCUUGGCACCAGCUUCAUAUGCAUAUGUACACCGUUUACUAACUUUGAUGGAAUUAUUGGACUGCAAUUCGAGUAAAUAUAAUUUAUUGUUAAUAUUUCGUAAUUA